rnacentral:hammerhead_ribozyme from 1 species
AUCCAGCUGACGAGUCCAAAAUAGGACGGAACGCACGUUAUGGAU